rnacentral:lncRNA from 1 species
AAAUUUUUUUGGUCUUUAUUAACGUGUGCAUUUGGGAAAAAAUCCAAAAACUGGGUCAUGCCCACGUAAGGCAGUUGUGUUAAUGAACUGUUUGUUUGUUGUCUUUUUUUUUUUAAAUUUCUUAACCAGAGUUUAUUUUCAGUCUUCAAAUGGCUGAUGGAAGACUAAUGUUCAAGCAAGCUAUGCAGCAUAACUUUAUUGCUUCGCUACAAAACUCGAUGCAAAUGAGUACUGAGAGAGCACUGCCUGCUUUGAAGUCAGAUUAAUCUUGCUGAAGCUCAUGCAUCAGAAAACCAACAAGCAAAAUCAUUGUAGGGAAUCUAUUGCUUGAAGAGUUAAGCCAGAAGAAGAAUUUCACAUUGGUGUGGGGAAGACUGAGUUAAUAUGUUUACCUAGAUAUUUGGCAUUGCUGACAUCCUGAAGAAAUAAAUUCCAAGAUCAAGUUGCAUAACAAGAUUUAUGUCUGACACUUCCUGACACAGCUAGUUUUGAUGAGCUGAGAUUACUUCUGUGACUGGCCUGUUUACCUUCUGGCACUGUCAGACAGCAGUCCGUAUCUUGCUAGUCAACCUGCUGAAAACAGGCACAAUAAUUUCUAUUUCUCCUUUUGGAUUGACUCUUCACUUUUCAGACACCUCAGUAGCCUUCUCUGCAUCUACCCCAGCUGGUAUUCUUCUUUUCAUAAUCAAGGCAAAGCCUUUUACAAGGCUAAUGAAACUGCAUCCCUUGGUAUAAAUGUAGUCAUGACUUUAUUUCACAUGACAUCCAGCCCUACAGUAUCACAGCAGUCCACAGCAGGUAAGUUGAUAUUAAUUUAUUUUUGUACUGUUAUUGCAUAAUUCUGAUAUACU